CACUGUAGGUGGUCUGUCCCAGACCUUCCCCCAUGUAGGGCUGUCUCCAGAGCAGGAGACCAGCACCUCGGACAGAGCAGUGCUGGGCAGGCUCGGGGAGAGCAUAGUAGGGCUCCAGCCCAAUACCUGCCAGACUGCAGGUCCUGAUAGAAAGGGUCUAGAGGGUGUGCGGGGCCAGAGGAGAAGUGGCUCAGGGACAGAUGGACAAGGGGAGAGAAGGAGGGCAGGAAGGCUGCCACUAAAGGGUCCCUGGGUUGGGACCCAGAAUAGUGGGCGGGCCUGGGUCCCUCCCCCUUCCUCCUUGUACUGCACCUGGCCAUGCAGUAGGGUGGCUGAAACAAACUGCAAUCGGCCCUUAAGACAAGGGACUAGACUUUGGAGGUCGUGGUUGGCCACUGAGGCCAGUGCAAAGACUGUUGCUAACCUCUCUUUCCCCCCCUGGAAGGGGGUGAGGAUGGACUAGGGGGCACUGCCGGAGGGCAGAGGCCUGAAGAGGACGCCACCGAGCGGGGGAGCAACGCAAGUCCAGACAAAGACAAGGAACAAAUGAUGGACAGGACACCACCAGCAGAGGGCACUCCCCAUGAACUGAGUUAAUUCCUGGAGGUAACCAGCGGGAGGCGCUGCGGUGCUGGUUUAUUCCUUGGCACUGAAAUGUAAAGGGAGAGAUCUAAUCACCAGGUUUCUGUUUCUCCUUGGGACGAAAGACUGUGAAAGUACCUGAAGAGACAAAAGAACUAAGCUGAGGGAAAGGCGAGGGCUGAGUCCAGACUGAGACAGAAGAAUCUAGUCUGGAAAAAGAAAUAACUGGAACCCUGAGCUACAGAAACUCUGCAUCCUGCCUAAAUCAACAUUUAGGGAAGCUACAAGGUUUACUGCCCAACAGAUAAACCAAGGGGAGGAAACAGUAAAGGUUCAACCAUUAUGGUAGUUACAGGACAUUUGCCUCUACAAGGAGUUACUACUACACAACAGAAGAGAAAACAGAAGCUGCACUCAGGGAUUGCAGCUGCCAGUCAGCAACAGGAAAGAAAUGUCUGGGGGAGCAGAGGCAGAAGAGAACCUUGUGGCAAGCAAACAUGUGAAGGGGGAGAGAGGAGGAGAAGGGGAGUGGCAACAGAGAAGAAUCUGCAGGAGAAGUUGGAGA